AUCGCCAUUUUCCCCGAGCUUUAGUGUGUUCAAACAAGGUGACGGCCUGACGGGUAAACAAACAACAACCAAUGACUAAAACUCGGAGAACUUCUUCAGCAACGGUCCAUAUAUUAACUCUACACUGUCGAUCUAGUAAAAUCUUUGCCGGCUCAACACGUGUAUCUAAGUUCUGCAAUAGGAUUAAAAGCCGCCAUAAGAAAGGAUUACAUAGAAACGCGGCAGUGCAAACUGACUAUAGCUGGAGAAGCGCCAUAUAUGAAGCAGGCCGCCGGUUGGGGACUAGCUAAAAACAGCCCUUAUCUGGAGGAAUUCAAUCGAGGAACCGCACGUCUUUUUGAAUUAGGAUUAAUAUCUUUGUGGCAGAACUGGUAUGAGCCAAAUUCUAAGCCUUGCUAUGACGACAGGAAAAAUGGUGGUGAAAACAAGAACAAGGAAAAGUCCCUGGUUCGAUUAUCUUUGACCAAUUUGACAGGGGCAUUUGCUGCUUUAGCUAUUGGAUGUGCCUUGUCCAUCCUAACUUUCUUAGGAGAAUUGAUAAUUUCCCACGGAAAAAAUAACUGUACUUUGGGGAAUUGAAUUUCAACCUGAAAAGUAAAGACAUACGUAGUACACGCCCUGAUACAUUAAUUCGUAUCUUAACCUAACAUAACUAUUACUCUGAUUCAAGCACGUCAAAACUUUUUUUCAUAAAUCACAAAUUUCAGUGCUUAAUUCUUUAUACAAUUAUAACGUCAAUGUUAACAUGCAAUGAGAAAAAUGCAAUAGGAAAUCAACAAGCCCUUCGACCGAAAAAUUGGAGAAAUCGACAACCGAGAUAAAUUGAAGUGUCACUCACUCUGCGCGUCUAAAUAUUUUGUAUUUGAACUCCGGAGGUUUGCUGUUGGCUAUGAUAACAUCUCGUGUUAUUUUUAGAUUCCUAUUACCUACUGAUUGUUUUUUUCUUUAUUUAUGAAACAUACUGUGUAUCAAAGUUGCAUUUUGUUUCGUGAAUUUAGAGUGUAGUAAUUGCCGAAUUUCACUUAUUUAGUUGUAAAUGGUCUCACGAAAUAAAUAGACAGAAUCAAAUAUGA